GGGCGCGUAGCUCAGCUGGUUAGAGCGUCCGGCUCACAUCCGGGAGGUCAGAGGUUCAAGUCCUCUCGCGCCCA
rnacentral:tRNA from 1 species